UACGGAAUGUGCAAACGUUAUUCGGAAUCACUGGGCUUAAAGAGUCCGUAGGCGGCAUGUUAGGUGAGGUGUGAAAUCCCCCGGCUCAACCGAGGAACUGCCCUCCAAACUGCUUUGCUUGAGGCCGGGAGAGGCGAGUGGAAUUCCCAGUGUAGCGGUGAAAUGCGUAGAUAUUGGGAGGAACACCAGUGGCGAAGGCGGCUCGCUGGACCGGUACUGACGCUGAGACGCGAAAGCGUGGGGAGCAAACAGG
rnacentral:rRNA from 1 species